rnacentral:rRNA from 1 species
CCUACGGGAGGCAGCAGUGAGGAAUAUUGGUCAAUGGGCGGAAGCCUGAACCAGCCAAGUAGCGUGCAGGAUGACGGCCCUACGGGUUGUAAACUGCUUUUAUACGGGAAUAACGCGCCUUACGUGUAGGGCUUUGCAUGUACCGUAUGAAUAAGGACCGGCUAAUUCCGUGCCAGCAGCCGCGGUAAUACGGAAGGUCCGGGCGUUAUCCGGAUUUAUUGGGUUUAAAGGGAGCGUAGGCCGCAUGUCAAGCGUGCUGUGAAAUGUCCGGGCUCAACCCGGGCCUUGCAGCGCGAACUGGCGUGCUUGAGUCCGCGGAAAGCAGGCGGAAUUCGUCGUGUAGCGGUGAAAUGCUUAGAUAUGACGAAGAACCCCGAUUGCGAAGGCAGCCUGCUGCAGCGGAACUGACGCUGAUGCUCGAAAGCGCGGGUAUCGAACAGGAUUAGAUACCCCAGUAGUC